UACGAAGGGGGGCUAGCGUUGUUCGGAAUUACUGGGCGUAAAGCGCACGUAGGCGGAUAUUUAAGUCAGGGGUGAAAUCCCGGGGCUCAACCCCGGAACUGCCUUUGAUACUGGGUAUCUCGAGUCCGAGAGAGGUGAGUGGAAUUCCGAGUGUAGAGGUGAAAUUCGUAGAUAUUCGGAGGAACACCAGUGGCGAAGGCGGCUUCCUGGACCGACACUGACGCUGAGGCGCGAAAGCUAGGGGAGCAAACGGG
rnacentral:rRNA from 1 species